CGUGUAGGCGGCUGAUUAAGUCUGGAGUGAAAGUCCUGCUUUCAAGGUGGGAAUUGCUUUGGAGACUGGUCGGCUUGAGUGCGGAAGAGGUAAGUGGAAUUCCCAGUGUAGCGGUGAAAUGCGUAGAGAUUGGGAGGAACACCAGUGGCGAAGGCGACUUACUGGGCCGUAACUGACGCUGAGGCGCGAAAGUGUGGGGAGCAAACA
rnacentral:rRNA from 1 species